rnacentral:ncRNA from 1 species
GCGGCGUGCCUAAUACAUGCAAGUCGAACGCUUUUUCUUUCACCGGAGCUUGCUCCACCGAAAGAAAAAGAGUGGCGAACGGGUGAGUAACACGUGGGUAACCUGCCCAUCAGAAGGGGAUAACACUUGGAAACAGGUGCUAAUACCGUAUAACACUAUUUUCCGCAUGGAAGAAAGUUGAAAGGCGCUUUUGCGUCACUGAUGGAUGGACCCGCGGUGCAUUAGCUAGUUGGUGAGGUAACGGCUCACCAAGGCAACGAUGCAUAGCCGACCUGAGAGGGUGAUCGGCCACACUGGGACUGAGACACGGCCCAGACUCCUACGGGAGGCAGCAGUAGGGAAUCUUCGGCAAUGGACGAAAGUCUGACCGAGCAACGCCGC